GUUCGUGUGAUGAUUUCUUUGUUCAACUGCUGAGUGACGGAAGUAUGAACUAAACUUAAACAAUCUGACAGGA